rnacentral:lncRNA from 1 species
ACAAAUCAAUUCAACCUGUGCAUUCUUCUUGUAUAUAUACAACCACUCUCUUCUGAUCUAAAAAUUCAAACCAAAAUCAAAUGAAAUAUAUAAACACAAUACCCAAGAAAUUAAAGAAGGCAAAGUGAAAUAACCCACAUACACACAAACUCAACCAAACAAAGAGAUACAUCAAGUUAAAAUUUAGAUCUAGCGCAACUACGAUGGAUUCUCAAUUAACAUUCCUGAAUUUGAAACUGUAAAAAACUUCCAUAUUGGACAGCUUCCUCAAGCAUAAUAGUGAUACCACCUACAAUUCACAAAGGAAGCAACAAACUUAAGAUUUGAGAUUUUCAGCAUGUUAAAAAUAAUAGUGUGAUUGAAUUGGCACAAUUUUAUCUCUCUAUUUACGUGUCCAUUAAUUAUAGAUUAGACAACUCUUAUACAAUGAACAUAAGGAGCAAAGUAGGGAAACAUGUGCAAGAUAGUUGAAACUUACCAAGAUUGUAAAAAUAGAAAACCAAGAUAAAGAACUUUAUUCAGAAUAACAUUUACACAUACACAAUUCUUGCUUUAUCAGGUUAUCAUUAUUUUUCUUCAAUACCUUCAAGAAUAAGAAAACCACCAGGUUUCGUGUGAAGAUUAGUGAUGGAUAUGUGCAUUUGAAAGAAAAAGAAUGGAACAUUAGUGGUGAAGAUGUUAGGAUUUUACAACAAGAGAUGGUGAUGUCGAUUAUUUCAACGAAAAGAGAUUAGAGGUUUACGGCAAGAGGUGGUGGUCGUCGAAGGAUAAUAAAGUUGUUGGUGGUUCUGCAGCUAUGAGCUAAGCGCGAUGGCCGAAGAUGGCAUAGGAGGAUAAGGAUCUUGGCUGUGGUUAUGCAUUGUCCUGUUUAAAAACAAAA